rnacentral:lncRNA from 1 species
UUUAUAUUAAUUCUUAGUAAUGAAGAACAGUCUGCCUUUUUGUCUUUGGGGAGCAUUUUAAAAUUUUUAUUACAUACAAAUUUUACACAUUUCUUGUUGAGUUUAUCCCAAAGUAUUUAGUCUUUGUUGCUACUAAAAUGGGGUUUUAUUCACCAUUAUGUGCUGGUUAUUGUUUCUAGAUCUAAAGACGAUUAAUUUCUAUAUUUUGUGUAUCUUGCUAUCAAUUAUUUUUGCUCUUUGUUAUCAUUUAUAAAUACUUACUUUGUUUUAUGUGCUUUAGACUUACAAACCUAUAAGGUAGAUACUGUUAUCAUUAUCACCAUAUUAAAGAUGAGAAAAUUAUUAGAGAAGUAACUUUCCCUGUGGCAUAUAGCUAUGAUUAAGUGAGGAAAUCAGAAUUUGAAUCCAGGUGUUAUAGUUUGUUUUAGAGUGGUGCUGUCCAAAAAAAAGUCAUCUGCAAUUUUACCUUUCAAUACCCACAUAAAGAAAAAGUAACACAAUAUAUCUAAACACUCAACUGAAUUUUUUUUUUUUUUUUAGUAUUUUGUUUUAGUUGUUGUUGGGCACAAUAUUUUAUUUUUAUGUGGUGCUAAGGAUCGAACCCAGCGCCCCACACGUGCUAGAUGAGCAUUCUACCAUUGAGCCACAACCCCAGCCCCCUGAAUUUUUUUUAAUCACUGAUUCUGUAGGAUUUCAGAUGCGCCCUCAAACCUACAAACCAAGACGGUUUAAUUUCUUACCAAUUGUGCCUCUAAUUCAUUUUUAUCUAGUACAGUACUAAAUAAUAGUAGACAGAGUUUCAUUGCCUUAGUCUUGCUCUGAAUUGAAGCUUCCCUUGUGUUUUACUACUAAAUAAAAGGACCAAAAUAAACAUUGUAUAAAAUGUUUCAAUUACCAAUUCCUGUUAAGGGCUUUUGUCAGAAACUGGAUGUUGAAUUUUGUCAAAGGCUUCCUCAACACUGUUUUAGCAAGGGCAAAUGUGAGGUAUUAACUUUAGGGAGAGGCUG